ACGAACGCUGGCGGCGUGCUUAACACAUGCACGUCGAACGGAAAGGCCCUGCUUUUGUGGGGUGCUCGAGUGGCGAACGGGUGAGUAACACGUGAGUAACCUGCCCUUGACUUUGGGAUAACUUCAGGGAACUGGGGCUAAUACCGGAUAGGAGCUCCUGCUGCAUGGUGGGGGUUGGAAAGUUUCGGCGGUUGGGGAUGGACUCGCGGCUUAUCAGCUUGUUGGUGGGGUAGUGGCUUACCAAGGCUUUGACGGGUAGCCGGCCUGAGAGGGUGGCCGGCCACAUUGGGACUGAGAUACGGCCCAGACUCCUACGGGAGGCAGCAGUGGGGAAUAUUGCACAAUGGGCGGAAGCCUGAUGCAGCAACGCCGCGUGCGGGAUGACGGCCUUCGGGUUGUAAACCGCUUUCGCCUGUGACGAAGCGUGAGUGACGGUAAUGGGUAAAGAAGCACCGGCUAACUACGUG
rnacentral:rRNA from 1 species